UACGUAGGGGGCAAGCGCUGUCCGGAAUCAUUGGGCGUAAAGAGCGCGUAGGCGGUCCGGUAAGUCGGUUGUGAAAACUGGGGGCUCAACCCUCAGAGGCCGACCGAUACUGCCGGGCUAGAGUCCGGAAGAGGCGAGUGGAAUUCCUGGUGUAGCGGUGAAAUGCGCAGAUAUCAGGAGGAACACCAAUGGCGAAGGCAGCUCGCUGGGACGGUACUGACGCUGAGGCGCGAAAGCGUGGGGAGCAAACAGG
rnacentral:rRNA from 1 species